AUCUGAACUCUGGAGAAGGACGUGCGGGGCUUUUUCCGUUUGGGAGGUGUCCGGUUCUGGUACGGGUGUCCUAUCCGCCGCGUAACGGCGAACGGCACGAGAGCCGCUGCAGGGAACAGAGAGACACACCGGUUUCCCAAUGGAAAACAGUGAGAGACCCAGAGAGCGACUGGAGAGAGAGAGAAAGUGGGAAGUGGUCUGGGAUGGUGGGUUGCUUGGUAACAGCUGUGUGUCCUGACCAGUGGAGGGAAGCUGUGGAAUCUUGACGAAGCAUGAAAACGAAACACACUGAGUGUCAGACACAGACAGGUACACAGACAGGGGGAUCAGACACAUAAAACAUGCAUAGCAUGCAUUGAUGUGGCACAGAUAUACAUACACAAACAAGUUCAGGUCACAUGGGGAUAAUGGAUUACCCGCAAUGUGUCAGUCGUGACCUUACCCCACCUCUGUUAUGUCAACAUUACAGCUUCUGUAUAUAAUGCUUCAACUUGAUGAAUGUCUAUGUAAGUAGACACACACGCAGACAUUUGAAUAGAAAAACACACACUUGCACGGUCCAGAAUCAACAAAUGUCCUGUGAUAUCUUAGAGUUACACUUCUUAGCAGCCAUUUAGACAGGGAACUUUCUUCUGAACUGAUCAGCACCGCGUUUGUUUCUCUGACCAAUUCAUGACACUUAACCGCAUCCUCUCACUAUUCCGCUGGCUGCUUCAGCUGAUACAGACAUUGCAGAAUCCCUCUUGUUGCUCUAU